rnacentral:lncRNA from 1 species
GUUCCCAGAUGAGAACGAAGACAGGAAAUUGUACUGAUGACACACUCUGAAUUCCAGAGGCUCAGAGGAAUGACUGAGGGUCACAGAGGUGUGGGAGCAUGAGUCGGAUGAGAGAAUGUUCUGAACCCCAUGGGAAAAACGGGACCCUAAGAAGAUCAGAUAUCCAUGGACUGGUGGCCCCUGUCCUGCAGAUGGUGACCGUCAAUGCCUAAGAUCCAAGCCCUGCUCCCAGGCACACCCAUCUAGACCCAAGGACACUUUCUCAUUGCUGACGGGCUAGGCUGGCUGUGUCCCGCUUGGGUCUCCCCUGCUUCCCCCACAAAAUCAUGUGCAUCCACAACUUAUCUCAUCUGUCCUUGGAAUAAACCAUAAAUCCCUUCUUAGCAUCUGUUUCCCAUCAGAGUUCUUCCAAGGAGAGGGGCUGCUCCCCA